UUAGCUAGAUAUACCAUCAUUAAUGCACCAAAAUCCAUCAGAAUUCUGCAGUUAAACGUGUUUGGUCAAGAAUAAUACUAGGAUUAGUGACCUCCUGGAAAGACUCCUUUUUGCAUCCU
rnacentral:rRNA from 1 species